GUAAGCAUUUACAGGAUAUUGUUUUAUACAGGAAAACUGUUACUCAAUAAGGCCGAUCUACUAGUUGUUUUUCUCUUUCUCUGUGACCCAAGAAUUAAUGUGUAAGACUUACAGGCUGGUACCUCAAGGUCGAAAACACCACAGAGAUGAGACCACUUCCUUACUCCCAUCCUCCCUUUUUCCUUAUCUCCUGGAAAAGGCUCGUUAAAGGCUAGGUGGUUUGUUUCAGAAUUCACUGAUGAAAGAACUCUGUAUUUUAUGUCUAGGAGUGUAUUUUGCUGGGAUGAUCAUAAAUUGUAGCUGAACUGAUAAACUACACAAGGGAUACUUUGCUCAGAAGGCAGGAAGACGUUUCCUUAUUUGGUCUGUACCGGUUUGAACUGGGAAAGCUGACACACGAACCUUUUUUCAUCUAUAUAAACUGCUGUGUAUCAAAUAAACCUUUGAGUCGAUUGGGAAGGCAACCUAAAGCAGUCUCUGUUUUCUUGUUCUCCCAAGCUGCUCCCGAGCUCGUACUAACACGCUGAAUGGCAUACCUGAGUGUUACUUUGAAUAAUUAGGAGUCUUAUAAGGAAAGGACAAAACUCUGCUUAUCGCUCACGCCACGGAGGAAACCCGGGAAGGCAAUUUCCUUCAAUCUUGGUGUCAGAAGUGGGAUUACUGACAGAAGCUUUUCCCCUCCACAGUUCCACCAGUGGAGACAAGGAGACGCAUGUUGGAGAAGCCACUAAAACCAAGGACACUCUGGGAGGCCGCGUUUUCCAGCCCCCAGGCUUUACUGGCAGUGACGAAGAACCAGCAUCCUCACAGACGGACAACCUCAGUGGAUUCAUGCCAGCAGGGUUAAGACCAGCCCAAUCGGACCAUCUCAGGCGUCGGAUCAAGCAGACGACAUCUCCGGCGAGCCAGCGCCCGGAACUAGAGCAAAUAAACACACGGGUAGACGACAUCUCAGGCGAGCCAGCGCCCGGAUCCAGUGCACACACGCAAUCACUGAUUAACACACAACGUCUGAAAGAACAACAACAAGGUACUCAAACAUCCAGCAGGAACAGAAAGCCAAAAGUACCACAUGAUGUCUAACCUGAUAAAGCCAGACUCAUUUCAUCCUGAUAAUGGAGAAAAUGAAAUGCCCAUUGUCAUCAUACGACGCUUAUUCAAUGUCUCUCGAACCUGGGACCAGGCCAGGAGACAACUGAAGAACUGUUUUUCUUAUAUACUUUCUUAUAUAUUUAGGUUAUUUAUCAUAUCUAUCGCAUUAACCUUAGGAUUUCUCUUUGCUAUUUUGUAUUGUAAACUGCAACCAUGUUCAUAUUUCUGCAGGUCAUAUUUUGCUGACUAUACCUCAUGCUCCAUUUUGCAAGACACCUACUUAAUGCACUCAUUACGUUCCCUAAAAUCAGUAAAUAGCAACAUAGACGCCACUAAUAAACCAUCUUAUGCGCCCUCUAGAACAGGAGCUAACGCCUGGUAUGAAAAUGCCAGAACAGCCGCUCGUGAUUUAGGAAACAGUAACUGUUAUGUCUGUUCAAAGGCUAAUCCAGAACAGGUAAUAGUAGGAUACCCCA
ensembl:lncRNA